GCACGUCUAGCUCAGUCGGUAGAGCGCAAGACUUUAAACCUUGUGGUCAUAGGUUUGAGCCCCACGGUGGGCG
rnacentral:tRNA from 1 species